GGAAGGAUCCCUAAACAGAAUCGUGCGGUAGUGCUGGUUCUUACAAGUGCACACCGCCACUUCUCUAUUCACCCCAUGUGCACCUCUGCGUCGCCGGCAUCUCCGGCUUCGCCUUAUUUACACAAAAACCUUUGUAUCGAAUGUCUUGUUGGAACGAUAAUAAAAUACAACUAUCAACAACGGAUCUCUUGGCAUCCCACUCGAUGAAGAACGCAGCGAAUUGCGAUAAGUAAUGUGAAUUGCAGAAUUCAGUGAAUCAUCGAAUCUUUGAACGCACCUUGCACCCUCCAGUCUUCUGGAGGGUAUGCCCGGUUGAGUAUUAUGAUCACCUCAAACCUCUGGCUUUCUUAUUGCAAAGGCCGAUGCUUUGACAAAGGCGCCCACCGGGGUGCCGACAGUUGGAGUUUGGCUUGGAGAACCGGCAGGUCUUGGACUUGAGUUUAUGUUGGUUCCAUAUGGAUCGACUCACUCGAAAUGCAUUAGCUGGCAACCCGCUCCUGACGGUUACCACUUGGCGUAGUAAGUCUUAUUCGUCAAGGACACCUUGCGCCUUCACAGGGGCAGGUGGCCGUUGUGCUGUGUCUUGAUGGCCGCUUCUAAUCGUCUCCGGACAACACACGAAACCUUUAAUCUCAACUCGGGUAGGACUACCCGCUGAACUUAAGCAUAUCAAUAAGCGGAGGAAAAGAAACUAACAAGGAUUCCCCUAGUAACGGCGAGUGAAGCGGGAAGAGCUCAAAUUUUAAAUCUGGCGUCUUACGGGCGUCCGAGUUGUAAUCUAGAGAAGCGUUUUCUGUGCUGGACCCACCAUAAGUUACCUCGAACGGUACAUCAUAGAGGGUGAGAAUCCCGUGUGUUGGUGGGACGCCCAGUGCUCUGCGAUACGUUCUCGACGAGUCGAGUUGUUUGGGAAUGCAGCUCAAAAUGGGAGGUAAAUUCCUUCUAAAGCUAAAUACAUUGGGAUGACCGAUAGCGAACAAGUACCGUGAGGGAAAGAUGAAAAGCACUUUGGAAAGAGAGUUAAACAGUACGUGAAAUUGUUGGUAGGGAAACGCUUGAAGUCAGUCGCGUCUUCUUGGACUCAACCUUGCUUCUGCUUGGUGCACUUCCUUGUUGACGGGCCAGCGUCCAUUUCACUCGUCGGAAAAGAGCGGUUUGAAUGUGACAGCUUUCGCUGUGUUAUAGCCUACCGUUGUAUGCGACGUCUGGGAUGGAUCUUACAGCACGCUUUCGGUGGUGCUUGUGUUGGCGUAAUGGCUUUAAACGACCCGUCUUGA
rnacentral:rRNA from 1 species